rnacentral:rRNA from 1 species
UACGGGGGGGGCAAGCGUUGUUCGGAAUUACUGGGCGUAAAGGGCUCGUAGGCGGCCAACUAAGUCAGACGUGAAAUCCCCGGGCUUAACCUGGGAACUGCAUUUGUGACUGCACGGCUAGAGUGUGUCAGAGGGGGGUAGAAUUCCACGUGUAGCAGUGAAAUGCGUAGAGAUGUGGAGGAACACCGAUGGCGAAGGCAGCCCCCUGGGCUGAGAUUGACGCUCAGGCACGAAAGCGUGGGGAGCAAACAGG